UCUCUCUCCCCCUCACCUCACGUGUCUCCUCCCCGAAGCCUUGGCUGCCUGUGUUACUGGAAGGCCCAGCUCUCCCCUCGGCUCCUCCUCCAUCUCUUCUAGUGUGACUCAUUAUGGGGCACAGAGUCUCCGUAUGAGUUACUGUACCUUAUACUGACACCUUUCACCCUCUGUCCUACCCGCGCUUCUCCCGGCUGCCUGCCUUCUUAAAACAGCUUUGUGUGAUGCGGUAAGCAUUGCAGGAUGAGCCAGUGCUGGGCUGGAGAGGGGUCAUCUUCACAUCGCUGUGCCAGCAUUAUGCCAUUAAAGUCCCAGAGCCUGGAUCCCUCGAUGGACUAGGUGCGACUCCACAGGAUCUGCCGGCAGCUAAGGUGCUGGGGCACAUGAUGAAGUGCACGCCCUGUCCUUCCAUCUCCUCGUCCUCUCCCCCAACCCUCUCUCACACGAGGAGCUGCUCGCUCUGCACUGGAGGUGGGAGCUGUGAGUGCAGGCACUGCACCGGAGCAGCAAACUGCAUCCCAAAGACCUGGUUUAUGUUCAGCAAUGACUGGCUGCGCUGCAGAAGAGGAGCACACAGCAAGGUAGACGUAUUCACACAUGAGAGGAACGUGGCAUUAAAAAAACAACAAGGAGAACGAAUAGGAGUCAAGCAGAAGAGGAUGGGGCAUUGAUACCAUGGUGGCUGUGGCAGGAUAAAGAGUCGGGAGCAACAGGAUAAUCUAGGCGCCCCAGCCCCACUUGCCCUACGGCAGAAGAAGAAUGGAGUUAUGGGAAAGCCCAGGUGAUUAACGCUGAAAGAUGGGAUCCUUUCUGUAUCUCCUGGACUGGUAGAAUUACUUCAAUCAAAAUUACCAUCCUGAUUUACACCUUAUGUUUCAUAUAAAUGUGUUUUUUAAUAUUUAUAUGAUUAACGACCACAAACUGCUUUUACAUGGUGUUCUUUAUUGAUAUUUAUGUGACACUGUGAAAUGUACAUUGUAUCGUUUUUUCUCUGUGCUUUGUUCUUUUUCUUUGUUUUGUAUGUAUUUUUUUUCUUUUUGUGAGAAAACCAAUA